rnacentral:rRNA from 1 species
AGUGAACGCUGGCGGUAGGCCUAACACAUGCAAGUCGAACGGCAGCACAGUAAGAGCUUGCUCUUACGGGUGGCGAGUGGCGGACGGGUGAGGAAUACAUCGGAAUCUACUUUUUCGUGGGGGAUAACGUAGGGAAACUUACGCUAAUACCGCAUACGACCUACGGGUGAAAGCAGGGGAUCUUCGGACCUUGCGCGACUGAAUGAGCCGAUGUCGGAUUAGCUAGUUGGCGGGGUAAAGGCCCACCAAGGCGACGAUCCGUAGCUGGUCUGAGAGGAUGAUCAGCCACACUGGAACUGAGACACGGUCCAGACUCCUACGGGAGGCAGCAGUGGGGAAUAUUGGACAAUGGGCGCAAGCCUGAUCCAGCCAUACCGCGUGGGUGAAGGAGGCCUUCGGGUUGUAAAGCCCUUUUGUUGGGAAAGAAAAGCAGCAGGUUAAUACCCCGCUGUUCUGACGGUACCCAAAGAAUAAGCACCGGCUAACUUCGUG